UGGGUGAUGAAUCAGAAUCUACUGACUGCCUUCUGGGCAGUCCUAGAGCAGAGCUUCAACUGUGAUUGGUAGACAUAAAAUUAGGGGAAGACACAGAAAGUGACAAAAAAAGGGAGUGUCUUUAAAAGGAGCUGUUACUUCCGGUGGGGGAAAAAAAAUUAAUUCCUUGGAGUGCUGACUGGACCUGAGACCCUGUUUCCUGGUAAGGCUGAUAAAGAAUCUGCUGACUGGACUGACACAUGAUCAAAGGAUGGACCUUCUCCAUCUCCGGAGUCUUGAGUUGCCUCAACUAGCAGCCUGAGGAUGGAUGUUGCAUUCAUCUAACUUCCCCUCUGAGCCUGCCCCAGAAGCUACAAAUUGGUUUUUUGGUAGAUCUCUCAUUCCUGUGGAAGUGAAAAGGGACAGAAAUUAUUGAUAGUAUUAUAAAAAGAAGAAAAAGAAAAAGGACAAGAGUAAGAAGAAGGAAGAGAAAGAGGAAGAAAAUGAUAAUUGAAAGAUUUUUUAAAUGACUACGAAAGAAUAGGACAUUCAGAAGAAAGAAACACAAGAAAGCAAGAUGGCUUUCAAAAUAAGUUGAAUUUAUUAUGUAUGCUUUAUAAAAAGAAAGCUGUGUGUCAGAUAUUUGUGGUUUCAUAUGUAAUCUCUUUUUGUUGUUUUACUUUUAUAUUGAAAUGUUAAUAUUUUUGGAAUAGAUUAAGUUAUUUAGUAAAAAUGAUUCUUUAAAAAAGUAACUUGUCAUUCAUAAUUUAGAUGUGAUGUUUUACAUGAAUUUGUCUUGCUGAAUAUUUAUAAUUCUUUCCCAUGGCUUUGUAGGUCCUGCUUAUGUAUAUGUCCUUAAUGCAGUAA
rnacentral:lncRNA from 1 species